GUGCUUGUUUCAGCAGCACAUAUACUGAAGUUAGAAUGAUUCAGAGAAGAUGGUCAUCGUCCCUGUGCAGAAAAUGAUGGGCAAAUUUGUGACAUGUUGUAUAUUUUG
rnacentral:snRNA from 1 species